UACGUAGGGUGCAGGCGUUGUCCGGAAUUAUUGGGCGUAAAGAGCUCGUAGGCGGUCUGUCGCGUCUGCUGUGAAAACUCGGGGCUUAACCCCGGGCCUGCAGUGGGUACGGGCAGACUAGAGUGCGGUAGGGGAGACCGGAAUUCCUGGUGUAGCGGUGAAAUGCGCAGAUAUCAGGAGGAACACCGGUGGCGAGGGCGGGUCUCUGGGCCGUAACUGACGCUGAGGAGCGAAAGCGUGGGGAGCGAACAGG
rnacentral:rRNA from 1 species